rnacentral:tRNA from 1 species
GCGGGAGUAGCUCAGCUGGCUAGAGCGUUACAUUGCCAAUGUAAAGGUCGCGGGUUCAAAUCCCGUUUCCCGCU